GCAGAUUUCGAAAAUGAUGACCAUUUUGGAUUCCAAGAUGGCGGCCAUGCACUAUGUCAUAAAAUCUUCAUGGAUGUCAUUUUAGGGAGUACCGGUUUCGAAAAUAAUGACUAUUUUGGAAUCCAAGAUGUCUGCAGUGCACUUUGUCAUGAAAGUCGUC